rnacentral:rRNA from 1 species
UACGUAGGGUGCAAGCGUUGUCCGGAAUUAUUGGGCGUAAAGAGCUCGUAGGCGGUUUGUCGCGUCUGCUGUGAAAACCGGAGGCUCAACCUCCGGCCUGCAGUGGGUACGGGCAGACUAGAGUGCGGUAGGGGAGAUUGGAAUUCCUGGUGUAGCGGUGAAAUGCGCAGAUAUCAGGAAGAACACCCGUGGCGAAGGCGGCUCUCUGGGACGGUACUGACGCUGAGGCGCGAAGGCGUGGGGAGCGAACGGG